GGGAAUCUUGCGCAAUGGGCGAAAGCCUGACGCAGCCAUGCCGCGUGAAUGAUGAAGGUCUUAGGAUUGUAAAAUUCUUUCAGUAGGGACGAUAAUGACGGUACCUACAGAAGAAGCCCCGGCUAACUUCGUGCCAGCAGCCGCGGUAAUACGAAGGGGGCUAGCGUUGCUCGGAAUUACUGGGCGUAAAGGGAGCGUAGGCGGACAUUUAAGUCAGGGGUGAAAUCCCGGGGCUCAACCUCGGAAUUGCCUUUGAUACUGGGUGUCUUGAGUGUGAGAGAGGUAUGUGGAACUCCGAGUGUAGAGGUGAAAUUCGUAGAUAUUCGGAAGAACACCAGUGGCGAAGGCGACAUACUGGCUCAUUACUGACGCUGAGGCUCGAAAGCGUGGGGAGCAAACAGGAUUAGAUACCCUGGUAGUCCACGCCGUAAACGAUGAUUGCUAGUUGUCGGGAUGCAUGCAUUUCGGUGACGCAGCUAACGCAUUAAGCAAUCCGCCUGGGGAGUACGGUCGCAAGAUUA
rnacentral:rRNA from 1 species